UAUAUUUGCGCCGCUGUAAUGCAUACAUAAAAAUCAUUUAAAUUAAUAUUGGCAUG
ncrna:unclassified sequences S15-Flavobacteria ribosomal protein leader